rnacentral:rRNA from 1 species
AGAGUUUGAUCAUGGCUCAGGACGAACGCUGGCGGCGUGCUUAACACAUGCAAGUCGAGCGGAAAGGCCACUUCGGUGGUACUCGAGCGGCGAACGGGUGAGUAACACGUGAGUAAUCUGCCCUUGGCUUUGGGAUAGCCACCGGAAACGGUGAUUAAUACCGGAUAUGACCACUUCUCGCAUGGGUUGUGGUGGAAAGUUUUUCGGCCAGGGAUGUGCUCGCGGCCUAUCAGCUUGAUGGUGAGGUAAUGGCUCACCAUGGCUUCGACGGGUAGCCGGCCUGAGAGGGUGACCGGUCACACUGGGACUGAGACACGGCCCAGACUCCUACGGGAGGCAGCAGUGGGGAAUAUUGGACAAUGGGCGGAAGCCUGAUCCAGCAACGCCGCGUGAGGGAUGACGGCCUUCGGGUUGUAAACCUCUUUCAGCAGGGACGAAGCGCAAGUGACGGUACCUGCAGAAGAAGCACCGGCCAACUACGUGCCAGCAGCCGCGGUAAUACGUAGGGUGCGAGCGUUGUCCGGAAUUAUUGGGCGUAAAGGGCUCGUAGGCGGUUUGUCGCGUCGGGAGUGAAAACCAGGUGCUUAACACCUGGCUUGCUUUCGAUACGGGCAGACUAGAGGUAUUCAGGGGAGAACGGAAUUCCUGGUGUAGCGGUGAAAUGCGCAGAUAUCAGGAGGAACACCGGUGGCGAAGGCGGUUCUCUGGGAAUGACCUGACGCUGAGGAGCGAAAGUGUGGGGAGCGAACAGGAUUAGAUACCCUGGUAGUCCACACCGUAAACGUUGGGCGCUAGGUGUGGGGUCCAUUCCACGGAUUCCGUGCCGCAGCAAACGCAUUAAGCGCCCCGCCUGGGGAGUACGGCCGCAAGGCUAAAACUCAAAUGAAUUGACGG